rnacentral:lncRNA from 1 species
CUCUGCUGGAAGCACAUUCUUUCACGUCUCCUCUCACCCCAUACGAUGUGGGCAUGAUUUAGGAGGCAGGUAUUGGUGUUGGGAUUAGCGGCGCAGAAGGAAUGCAAGUUUGUUGCUGCUGCUCGCUACCAGUUUACAUGCUAUCCUGUUUUUACAAAAAAAGACUUGAUUACAAUUUAUGACAUGCUAAGUUAAAUCAUGCUACGUCUUGUCCGGAC